rnacentral:rRNA from 1 species
AGCGAACGCUGGCGGCAGGCUUAACACGUGCAAGUCGAACGGGCACUUCGGUGCUAGUGGCAGACGGGUGAGUAACACGUGGGAACGUACCUUUCGGUUCGGAAUAAUUCAGGGAAACUUGGACUAAUACCGGAUACGCCCUUCGGGGGAAAGAUUUAUCGCCGAUAGAUCGGCCCGCGUCUGAUUAGCUAGUUGGUGAGGUAAUGGCUCACCAAGGCGACGAUCAGUAGCUGGUCUGAGAGGAUGAUCAGCCACAUUGGGACUGAGACACGGCCCAAACUCCUACGGGAGGCAGCAGUGGGGAAUAUUGGACAAUGGGCGCAAGCCUGAUCCAGCCAUGCCGCGUGAGUGAUGAAGGCCUUAGGGUUGUAAAGCUCUUUUGUCCGGGAAGAUAAUGACUGUACCGGAAGAAUAAGCCCCGGCUAACUUCGUGCCAGCCGCCGCGGUAAUAC